rnacentral:rRNA from 1 species
UACGAAGGGGGCUAGCGUUGUUCGGAAUUACUGGGCGUAAAGCGCACGUAGGCGGAUGUUUAAGUCGGGGGUGAAAUCCCAGGGCUCAACCCUGGAACUGCCUUCGAUACUGGACGUCUUGAGUCCGAGAGAGGUGAGUGGAAUUCCGAGUGUAGAGGUGAAAUUCGUAGAUAUUCGGAAGAACACCAGUGGCGAAGGCGGCUCACUGGCUCGGAACUGACGCUCAUGCACGACAGCGUGGGGAUCAAACAGG